AACCCAUGCUGAGGAUAUUUUGCAUUAGAUCCUUGAACCUAUCCCAUGUCUCAAAAAGAGACUCCAAUUCUGUUUUCACAAAAGAGAAUAUCUCAUUUCUGAGCUU